rnacentral:lncRNA from 1 species
GGGAGAGGAGGGCCGAGGGAGGCACUGGCUGGCCACUCCUGCCUCACCCUCAGGGCCUUUCUUGCCUGAGCAAAGGGAUCAUCAGAUGAUGCAGGCAGCCCCAGGCAGAGAGGCUGGCAGUGUGGGAAGAGGAGCUACCUGGCUAAGCCCAGGCCCUUGUGCAGCACUAGGCUAGCCCUCAAACCAUGCUUCACCCCACUCUCAGGCUGUAGGUGGGGGUCUCUGAGGGGCCAGAAGGCACCCUCUUCCUCCCUGGGCCUGGGAUGAGAACCACCCCGUCCCCCAAGGAUUUGUGUCCCUCUGAGUCUUGGAGACUUUGUAUCUGGCAGGGACGUGGGACUCCAGCACACCAGCCCUGCCCUCUGCCCACUCGCUCCAUUGUCCAGCAGUGACUAAGGCCCAGGGAGGGGCACUGGUCACUCCAAGCACCAGAGCAUGUCUAUGGCCAAUGGUGGUUUUGAAACUUCCAAAGUCAGAAGUGCUGGAGAAGAUAUCUGUUGGAACCCUCUCAUUUUAAGGGAAAGGCUGAGAACAGGAAGGAGUCUGUGUCACAGCUCUGUCCACAAAAGAGAGACACUGCCUUCUCAAAGCCUGUGUGAACAACCCACGAGAACUCUGAUCUCACUUGCUUUGAUCUGACUUUGUACUCACCAAAUUUCUUUCUUGUAACUAUCUUGGGUUUGGGGAGUGGCCUGGCUGGCAGACAUAGCAUUUUGGUGAAUGGAGCAGUGUAUUUACCAACACAUGAACAGAUUGGCACUGGGGUUUGUUAAUGAGCGUCUUGUGAUCAGUGUUGGUGUGAACAAGUUUUGAAACAGUCACUCCAUGAAGCCCAGGCCCCUAGCCAUCCAAUCUGAUCAGUCAGCCUCUGGUGCACCAAGUAAAACGUCUGAGGCUGCUGAGUCUCCGGAGUGACUUCUGGCCUCAGAGACCCUGGGCUGCCAGCCAAAGCUCGGGGCAGGGAAACAGUGAAAGAGGAGGCCAUCGUCAUCUUUCUCAUCUCCUGCCCUUGCUCACCUUUAGCAGGGCCCUGCACUAACUCUGUGACCCUGAGCUGACCUCUCUGAGCCAUUAUCUGGAAGAGGGAUAACAGAACAACCUGACAGCUCCCGGACAGUAGUAGAUGCUCAAUAAACGAUGUGUAUUAUUAACCUGGGAACUUCCUGCUGGCCAAGGACAGGCAAGGGGAUGGGAACAGAAGUCCCCAGAAUGUGGCGAGACUGCAAGGCUGGGCUGGAUGCCAGCUGGCACCAUAAUGCAGCUGUGUGACUGCGUGUGGUUUGGCCUCUCCAGGACCUUCCUUCCUUAUUCUCCUCAUUGAUAAAAUAAGAGGAUUGGAUCAGUGAACCCCUGAACAUCCAUGAAGACUGUAAUGAAUAUUUUGGUCGCAAAGCUGAGAUGACAUGAUCCACAAAGCCUGCCACACAGUAGGCCUUUGGCAAAUGUGAUUGUUCCUUCUCUAAAGAGAGAAAUUGAAUCAACCUGGAACGCGUGGAGUGAAAAAUUUUCAUGAAAUCACUAAACUAGGUGUAGUAAUGCCCACCUGUAAUCCCAGCUAGUCAGGAGGCUGAAGCUGGAGGAUCGCUUGAGCCCAGAAGUUUGAGACUAGCCUGGCCGACAUAGUGAGACCCCUUCUCUAAAAACAACAACAACAAAAAACUAACUGAAUAAAUAAUUUAAAAAUUUUUUUAAUUCACUAGUAGAAAGUUUUCUGUGAUCUCUGGAAUUAUCCAUAAACAUUAUUUUUUAGCUCUCUCAAAGAGUAGGUACGGUAGAAGGUCCCUAGUAGAAAGUUUUCUGUGAUCUCUGGAAUUAUCUGUAAACAUUAUUUUUUAGCUCUCUCAAAGGGCAGGUACAAUAGAAAGUCC